rnacentral:rRNA from 1 species
CGCAUCUGUGCAUGCAGCAUAUCAAUAAGCGGAGGAAAAGAAACUAACAAGGAUUCCCUUAGUAACGGCGAGUGAAGCGGGAAGAGCUCAAAUUUGAAAUCUUCAAGGUUCUACCUUGACGAAUUGUAGUUUAAAGAAGUGUUUUCUGUUAGAGUGAGUACAAAAGUUCCUUGGAAUAGGGACAUCAUAGAGGGUGAGAAUCCCGUAUUUGACAUUAUUCUUCUAGCUGUGUGAUACACUUUCAAAGAGUCGGAUUGUUUGGGAAUGCAGUCCAAAAUGGGUGGUAGAUUUCAUCUAAAGCUAAAUAUUGGCGAGAGACCGAUAGCGAACAAGUACCGUGAGGGAAAGAUGAAAAGAACUUUGAAAAGAGAGUUAAACAGUACGUGAAAUUGUCAAAAGGGAAGCGUUUGACACCAGUGUUGUUUUCUCGAAAAUCAAUUAAAAAGAGUUUGAUUUUGUUGUGUAUUGACCUUAACAGCUUGCAUUUCAAUUUUCUUGCUUUUUUUAAUGCACUUUUCGUUUAACAAGUCAACAUCAGUUUCUUUUGUUGUAAAAAGGUCGUUGGAAGGUGGCUUUCUUUUCGGAGAAAGUGUUUAUAGCCUUUGACUCCUGCAAUCGGAGAGACUGAGGUCUGCAGCGUAGAUCCUUCGGGGUUAGAUACAUUUGUGCUAAGUUAUAGCUUUUUAUAGACAACUUGUUGACUAUGAUUAGUCUUGUAGCUUACUCGCUUAUGCUAUUUUACCUACGCUUAGGAUGUUGAGCGCAUGUCUCUCUCU